GGUUUAAUUCGAAGCAACGCGAAGAACCUUACCUGGGCUUGACAUGCUGGUGUAAGCCGGUGGAAACAUCGGCCCCUCUUCGGAGCGCCAGCACAGGUGCUGCAUGGCUGUCGUCAGCUCGUGUCGUGAGAUGUUGGGUUAAGUCCCGCAACGAGCGCAACUCUCGCUCCCAGUUGCCAGCGGUUCGGCCGGGGACUCUGGGGGGACUGCCGGCGUUAAGCCGGAGGAAGGUGGGGACGACGUCAAGUCAUCAUGGCCCUUACGUCCAGGGCGACACACGUGCUACAAUGCCUGGUACAACGCGUCGCGAACUCGCAAGAGGGAGCCAAUCGCCAAAAGCCGGGCUAAGUUCGGAUUGUCGUCUGCAACUCGACGGCAUGAAGCCGGAAUCGCUAGUAAUCGCGGAUCAGCCAUGCCGCGGUGAAUACGUUCCCGGGCCUUGUACACACCGCCCGUCACGCCAUGGAAGCCGGAAGGACCCGAAACCGGUGGGCCAACCGCAAGGGGGCAGCCGUCUAAGGUCAAGUCGGUGACUGGGGCGAAGUCGUAACAAGGUAACCGUAG
rnacentral:rRNA from 1 species